CCUACGGGUGGCAGCAGUGAGGAAUAUUGGGCAAUGGGGGCAACCCUGACCCAGCCAUGCCGCGUGAGUGAAGAAGGUCUUCGGAUUGUAAAGCUCUUUCGGACGUGACGAGGAUGACGGUAGCGUCUAAAGAAGCACCGGCAAACUUCGUGCCAGCAGCCGCGGUAAUACGAAGGGUGCGAGCGUUGUUCGGAAUUACUGGGCGUAAAGGGAGUGUAGGCGGAUAUGUAAGAUAGCGGUGAAAUGCCGGGGCUCAACCCCGGAACUGCCAUUAUGACUAUGUAUCUAGAGUAAUGGAGAGGUAAGCGGAAUUCCUAGUGUAGCGGUGAAAUGCGUAGAUAUUAGGAGGAACACCAGUGGCGGAGGCGGCUUACUGGACGGUAACUGACGCUGAGGCUCGAAAGCGUGGGGAGCAAACAGGAUUAGAUACCCUAGUAGUC
rnacentral:rRNA from 1 species